GAAGCUGACCAGACAGUCGCCGCUUUGUCUUUUUCUCUAAGAUUUCUCUAAGAAGACAGACAGGGGGGAGGAAAGUCCGGGCUCCAUAGGGCAAGGUGCCAGGUAACACCUGGGGGGCGUGAGCCUACGACUAGUGCAACAGAAAGUAAACCGCCAGUUGAUCCAUUGAUAUUGUGUAUGGAAUUAUCAGGCAAGGGUGAAAGGGUGCGGUAAGAGCGCACCGCGCGGCUGGUAACAGUUCGUGGCACGGUAAACUCCACCUGGAGCAAGGCCAAAUAGGGGUUCGCAUAGUACGGCCCGUACUGAACUCGGGUAGGUUGCUUGAGCCAGUGAGCGAUUGCUGGCCUAGAUGAAUGACUGUCCAAGACAGAACCCGGCUUAUAGGUCAGUUUCUUUU
rnacentral:RNase_P_RNA from 1 species